GCCAGUAGCUCAGUUGGGUAGAGGCUUGGCUAUGACUCUGGAGGUCAAGGGUUCGAGCCCCGGCGUGAUA